GAUGAACGCUGGCGGCGUGCCUAAUACAUGCAAGUCGAGCGAACAGACGAGGAGCUUGCUCCUCUGACGUUAGCGGCGGACGGGUGAGUAACACGUGGAUAACCUACCUAUAAGACUGGGAUAACUUCGGGAAACCGGAGCUAAUACCGGAUAAUAUAUUGAACCGCAUGGUUCAAUAGUGAAAGACGGUUUUGCUGUCACUUAUAGAUGGAUCCGCGCCGCAUUAGCUAGUUGGUAAGGUAACGGCUUACCAAGGCAACGAUGCGUAGCCGACCUGAGAGGGUGAUAGGCCACACGAGAACUGAGACACGGUCCAGACUCCUACGGGAGGCAGCAGAAGGGAAUCUUCCGCAGUGGGCGAAAGCCUGACGGAGCAACGCCGCGUGAGUGAUGAAGGUCUUCGGAUCGUAAAACUCUGUUAUUAGGGAAGAACAAAUGUGUAAGUAACUAUGCACGUCUUGACGGUACCUAAUCAGAAAGCCACGGCUAACUACGUG
rnacentral:rRNA from 1 species